GCCGGGCGCAGUGGCGCAUGCCUGUAGUCCCAGCUACUCAGGAUGCUGAGGUGGGAGGAUCCCUUGAGUCCAGGAGUUCUGGGCUGCAGUGUGCUAUGCCGAUCGCAUGUCUGCACUAAGUUUGGCAUCAAUAUGGUGACCUCUCAGGAGCAGGGAACCACCAGAUUGCCUAAGGAGGGGUGAACCAGUCCAGAUCAGAAAUGGACCAGGUCUGAACUCCUGUGCCGAUCAGUAGUGGGAUUAUGCCUAUGAAUAGCCACUGCACUCCAGCCUGGGCACCAUAGCAAGACCACAUCUCUU
ensembl:misc_RNA Metazoa_SRP Metazoan signal recognition particle RNA